AGUGAACGCUGGCGGUAGGCCUAACACAUGCAAGUCGAACGGCAGCACAGUAAGAGCUUGCUCUUACGGGUGGCGAGUGGCGGACGGGUGAGGAAUACAUCGGAAUCUACUUUUUCGUGGGGGAUAACGUAGGGACACUUACGCUAAUACCUCAUACGACCUACGGGUGAAAGCAGGGGAUCUUCGGACCUUGCGCGAUUGAAUGAGCCGAUUUCGGAUUACCUAGUUGGCUGGGUAAAGUCUCACCAAGGCAACGAUCCGAGCUGGUCUGAGAGGAUGAUCGGCCACACUGGAACUGAGACACGGUCCAGACUCCUACGGGAGGCAGCAGUGGGGAAUAUUGGACAAUGGGCGCAAGCCUGAUCCGGCCAUACCGCGUGGGUGAAGAAGGCCUACGGGUUGUAAAGCCCUGUUGUUGGGAAAGAAAAGCAGCAGGUGAAUACCCCGCUGUUCUGACGGUACCCAAAGAAUAAGCACCGGCUAACUUCGUG
rnacentral:rRNA from 1 species